ensembl:lncRNA
AGGCGCGGAGGCGGGAGCGGCAAUGUCGGAGCCCGGGGAGCGGCGGGGCCCGACCGGGGGCACCGGGGGCAGCGGCGGCGGGCUCGGAGGAUGAGGAAGCCAACCCUGCCGAGGAGGAAGAGGAGGAGAUGUGGGAGGAUGGAGACAGCGGCCACCAAAGGCUGGGGAAGGCACAAGGCCAGGUAGGAGAUGCUGCCUUCCAGGGAGAGGGACUUGUCUGUCCCAUGGGAAUUUGGGGCGUGAGGCCAAUGGAACAAAGGGUUUGAUUCUAUUUUCUUACUCAGGUUCUUAUGUGCUUUAGGAGGUAUUUGUGGAAAGGUCACUUUACUGAGUUUGCACUGGGUUUGAAGGACUGUGAGCCCUGGGGCAGAAAUCCCUGCACAGCUUCUUGUCCCCCCUUGGCUCAUCUGACCAGUCCAUGGGCUGGGUUCCUUGUUUCCUCCUUAUCCAGGCUCUGGAUGAAAUCCUUAAUUUCCCAAGGGAGUGGAAAGCCAGCAGGAUGUGAAACAGAGUUGAUGCUUUAGGAAAGCCCCUCCAGCCUGGGAAGGAGCUUUUGGCUCUGGACACAUUCCCAGUCCCCAGGAGCAGCAGGACCUGUGCUGUUCCCAGCAGGUGAGGCAGAGGUGCCUUUCCUUCCUCCCUUCCCUGCUGCACUUUGGCUUUUCGAGGGGUCUCUGGGGUCUGAGGGAGAAGUUCUUUGUCACUCCAGGGCAGAAUUAGCCCUGGUCCCACUAAAAGCAGGAGGAAUCAUUCAUUUUAUCCUAGAUUUUGGAUACACAUUUUGUCUUCUCUCUCUGUGUCUGACACCGUGUGGUGAAGCAGCAGCUCCCAGCCUUUUCAGUGCUGCUCCCAGCUUUGUUUGUAGCUGGUAAACAAGAAACAGUAAUAUGCUGCUCUGUGGUAAUUGGAUUAAGGACAAGGCCUCCCUCUUUGUUUAAUAUUCCUGAGAAAAGCUGCCAAGGAUUAAAGCAAGAGCUUCCCCUGGUGAAAUCCUGCCCAGUCCCACGCUGGCUUUGCACACACACAAGGCUCAAUCCCUGCUGGAAUCCCAGUCACAGCCCCCAGAUCAAUGUGCAGUUUAAGCUCUCACAGCCUGACCAGGACAAUCUCUUGCCUCUGAACAUGGAAAAUCAGUUUUUCAUUGUUACAGCACCAGCUCAAGGUAAUUAUGAAGUGGUGUAAUGGUUUUUAAGUUGUGCACAUGGAAGAAAUUCACUGCAGCAGCCAGCACUGCUCUGCCUUCCUGGGCAACCCUGUGGGUUUGGGAUCUUGAAUUGUGGGUGUGAAAUCUCCUCAGAGAAUCCUCUGAGGCUGAAACAAAGACAAGGAACCUUCUGAGAUGGAAAGAGCCAGAACAAGUUGUUGUGGGAAAGGAAAAUUAAAGAUGGUAAGUGCUAAAACCUUUGUUCUUCCCUUCUCCUGAGCUCUGUACUUGGGAAUGGGUCAGUUCUGGAAAUUUCCUGGAGACACUGGAGAAUGAUCCCUGGGCUGCUGAAAAAUGGGAAAAUCCCACUGGCAAUUGCAGCCCCUGAGGGAGGGCAAAAAGAGCAGGACCUCAGUCUGUGAGUGUGUGAGAAAUAAGGGAGGGACAAAUGUAUGGAUCAUCCUGUGCCUCAGGGCAUCAGGAAAAGCCCUUGACCUAAAAACUGAAGUGCUGUUCCACAGGGAGCCCCUGCACAGGCCCUGGGAACUGGGCUCAUCCCAGCUUCCCUUCCAGAGCAGGAGGAACACCCCACAGUGCUGUUUGAGACAUUCCUGACUGGAACUGGGGCCGACUGGGCACUUUCCUGUUUUCCUGUAGGAUGUGGGCCAUGACAUAAAUUGGUUCCAACAGGGCCCAAGAUCCCUGUGGGGUCUGUGGCAGGGACAACUCCCAGAGCUGGACAGGGAAGGGAACCUUCACCCACACUCCCAAAAGCUGGAGAAAGAAAAACACCUGCCUGCAGCUGGCUGCAGCUCCUGGAGCUCUGGGGAUUCUGGCACACUCAGGGACAUGGGAUAAUGCCAGAAUCAUUCAAACCUUGGGAAUAAUGGAAUAAAUAUCACCCCUUGAGCCUGUUCCGGGCAGGCUCCUGCCCAUCGGCCACUGGCCACAGAUGGCUGGAGUCGAAGUGGAAGUGAUGGAGGCAUCCAGGAAAUGCUGAUUGUUUUUUCCUCACUUUGGCAAUCUGGUCAGGAAAAAUACGAAUUGAGCUCUUCCAGCAGGGAAACAUUUAAGCAAAAGGUGCUGAAAAGAAUUGGAGUUUCUGAGUUUAAGUCUCCAACUUAAAAUUGUCAUUGGAUUGCCACUGGUCCAAGUUUCAUGGACUGGUUUCUGUGGCCAGAAGUGUCCAGUCCUGCUGGAAAUGCACUGGACCAGGAUGUCAUUUUCACUUUAUACAGGUAAAGACCCUCUGGAUGACCCCCAGUGACCAGAACGACCAGACUAGUUCCAAGUGUUCUGUUUUUGGGAAUAGCACAGGAGCCAGAGUAGCAGCCAGUGCCUUCCUUAGUCCAUAAAUCCCCAGGAUGGACCACAGAGAAAAUAACAGGAAUGUGGAAAUCCCACACACAGGGAGUUUUUGGUGCUCUGGAUUACAUUUUGAAUUUAUAAUGUUAAAGAGGGGGUGUGGAAUGGCUUCUUUUUAUUGUCAUUGUUAUCACUGCUCUUGUUGCUAUCACUGUUAUCCACAGUUAUCACUGCUACCACUAUCAUCAAUAUUAAAAUAUUGUAUUUGUCUUGGUUUCCGUUAUUAAACUUUUCUGAUC